ACAGUAUGAUUUGUUUUCUUAAUCUAUUUCGUAAACAUCAAUGUCAGUAGUUUUUUUAAAGUUAAGUAAUUUUAAAAGUUUUUGAAUGACAUACAGGUUCACAAAUCACAGCCUGCUGAGAAAAAGAUUUUCCAUAAGGAGUUCCUAUCAGAUGCGUCACAAGUUCUUGAUUCGGGCAGCAUAAGCACAACAAUGAGGUCCCUGAACAGCCAGUGGCCAAUUUACUGAACACAACAUUAAAAUCAACUGCUUAAUCAUUUUAGCAUAGAUCAACGUAUGGAGCCGAGAAAUUGUGUGAAAUGUAUCAAUAAUUCCUUUUGUGAUAAAAUUACAAACAAACAUUUCCCUUCAGAUAUUAUUAAUCAAGUCUUUAAAAUAGCUGAUAUUUCUUCAUAGUGCCAAAUAAUUGUUCAUCUUUGUAUGCAGCUUUGCUGUGUUUUUAGUCAAUUAAAGAUAAAACAUUUGACUUUUUCCUAAAGAGAUACAAACAAUACAUCAAGGAGUAACAGUGAACAUGUUGUGCAAAAUGUGAAAACAAUGUGAAGAAGUGUCAGAUGCAAGUCCACAGAAGUGAAGGAGUGAUUAUUAAAAAUAUGCUUUAAAAAAAUACUUAGAUUUGUGCUCACAUGCUGAGCAGCUUAGCCAUUUAACAUUUUGCUCUGAGUGGGAUAAUCGACCUCACAUCGGAGAUCAUGAAUAACUUUCAGAUCUGGAUAAAUUGAAUGUCUGAGUAAAAGGUCACUGACACAUAACCUACAACCCUGUGAAAGCUAUAAAUGUAAACAUUAAUGGUUCUUAUUGGCAUUUUAUUAAUCUGAACAAUGUAAGAUGUGGGGAAGAUAUUGCAGGAAGAAGGUCCUGGGUUCAAAUCUGGAGUCUUCCUAAUCAUGCAUAUUCCUCCCAUGAUUAUUAUGCAUUUGUACGUGAUUGUUAGGUUAAUUUCUCUCUUUAAUUGUCCUCUCCUUUGAAUUGGUGGACUGGCAAGUUUGGACUUAACAAAACUGUCCUUCAUUGAAGAAAGGCAUUAAUGUAAGAAAACUAUAAGAAAAACACGUGAAAUAAGAUUCUCUGAUCAGAUGAGACCAACCAAAAGUGGUUUAAAGAAAAACAUAUUCAUGUGUUUGAAUGAUCCAGUCAAAGUUCAGACAUCAAUCCAACCGGAUGGACAUGUGAAGAUUAUGCACACAUUCCCUCCAGUCUGACUGGAUUUUAGUGAUAUGAGCAAGAUGUGGAGAGCUGGAACAUUCCUGAGAAAAGCUUGUGAGGCACAGAGGACACAGGAAAAAUGUCUUCAAAGCAAAUUAAAAAUAUCAACUAAACAUAGCUGUUCUCAAAAAACUGACUGCACUAACUGAGCAAACAAAGUAUUCACACCUCAUCUCCCAUUGUUGUGAAAGGUAGCUUAUAUCAUAGAUUUGGUCCGACCAUUUAUACACAACAGGGGAAACAAAAGCAAACAUCAAUACUAACUAAGGAGCAAAUAUUCUAAUUAAACCUAAAACACCCCCUUUCUAACAGACACAUGGUUGGUCCUGCUGAGAUGGCAUUGUGCUUUCAAACCCCUCAGGCCUUGGCCAGAAUUUAUUUCUUGAACAUAAUAAGUGUUUUUGCUGUUUUAAGUCAACUGAAUCCAGUUAUUUGACCUUUGAAGCAUUUUUCUAGAUGUUUGCUUUGAUUGACCUUCUUAAUCUGUUUCAGUCUCACAGCUCAUGAUGGAGUUAUGAAUGUACCCGCAGUCAGGGCGUCAGACUAAAAGCCCUUCAUCAGUCACUCUUCUAAUCCUGCGCACCCAUGUUACAUAAAGUGGCCAUCCUAACCCACGUCACGCAGAAAAACGGCUAAACCCCCAGCUUUUUUCGGGGUUAUUAACUCCUGCUGUGGGAGCCGACUGAGCUGAGGCACCAUGAUCCUCAUCGUGGACCUGCUGCUGAUGAUCAUGGAUGUCACCUACUCCAUCCUGUGCGCCGUGGUGCGCACCUUCCUCCAUCCCAGGCUGAAGAGCAUCGACGGGGAGCUGUGUCUGAUCACGGGAGCCGGGGGGGUUCUGGGUCGCCUCUUCGUCCUGGAGUUCGCCAAAGAGGGGGCGCACCUCGUCCUGUGGGACUGCGACACGGCUGCCAACGAGCGGACCGCGCAACUGGCCCGGGAGCUGGGCGUGGAAGUGCGCACCUACACUGUGGACCUGUCCAAGCGCCAGAGCAUCUAUGACGCUGCGGAGAGGGUGAGAGCGGAGGUCGGGGAUGUCUCCAUCCUGGUCAACAAUGCGGGGGUGGUGGCCGGACGGAGGCUGCUGGAGUGUCCAGACGAGCUUCUGGAGAGGACUCUGCUGGUGAACUGCCAUGCGCUGUUUUGGAUGACAAAAGCCUUCCUGCCUCAGAUGAAAGCCAGAAACCACGGCCAUAUCGUCACUAUUGCUAGUGCUCUUGGACUGUUCACCACAGCAUGUGUGGAGGAUUACUGUGCCAGUAAGUUCGGUGCUGUUGGCUUCCAUGAGUCCCUGGCACACGAGCUGCGAGCAGAAAACCACGACGGCAUCAAAACCACAUUGGUGUGCCCCUACAUCGUAGACACAGGGAUGUUUUCAGGCUGUGAGAUCAGGAAAGAAAUUCGGAACCUGAUUCCUCCACUUGAGCCUCUCUAUACAGUCCAGCAAUCCAUGAAAGCCAUCCUGGGCGAGCAGGAAAUGAUCUGCAUUCCUCGCAUCAUGUACAUCGCCUUCAUCGCAAGAGCGUUGUUACCUUGGGAGGCCAACGUUGUGGCAUAUCGCUUCAUGGGAGGCGAUAAGUGCAUGAUGCCCUUCAUCAAGAACGCUGAGACAAAAACCUCAGGCGGCCACAUCCAGUCUUCCUGAGACUUUUCCAGUAAUGUCUUCCAGUGUUUUUCAAUGGGCUAAUGCAGACACCAAAGGCUUGUUUGUGCAUUUUAUAAUACACAGUGCCCCUCAAAAAAUUAAAAAUGUUUUGAGUAAAUGUUUUUGUCAUGGAGAAAAA